GGACAGGAGGGCAAUCAGGCUGUGGCGCUGUUACUGCGGCAAUCACCUGGGUUGAUUUAGCUGAUUGGCUGGCUAGUCAGGUGUUGCCUUCCUUCACAUCCCAUGUUCAUCGUUUCCGAAGCUUUCUGCCCUGUCAAAGAGGAAGACCCUCUCCAAUGGAGGACGGUUCUGUGGUCAAGGGUAUACAAGUUGCUGCACUUCCUUCCUAGAGCCUCCAAAUAAAUUAUGAAGACGUAAUAGGGGCUGUGAGAUGGGAGAAGCACCAGACACAUCUAAUCUUUU
rnacentral:snRNA from 1 species